ACCUGACUGGCUCAGUCGAAAGAGCAUGGGACUCAUGAUCCUGGGGUCAUGAGUUCGAGCCCCACAUUGGGUG
rnacentral:tRNA from 1 species